UGAUCUGUGAAUGGACUGGUUUCCGGCUCGUUUGCCACUCGUCACCUCUCGCUGGUUGAUCAUUACACGGGGGUCGUUGAUAUACGGUUUUUAAACGGAGAGAAGAGAAGGUUUAUGUCAAAAUACAUCAGCCUGUUAUAAAAGAACGUGGAAAUGAAAUUGUCUAUUGGAGUUGGAUGCUCGUAUGUUAAUAGAUAAUAAGCCUUUGCUACUAUUUAUUGACACAUAUACCGAGCUUUCUAAGAAUACGGAUUUACUGGUCUAGGCUAGAUAAUAUGGAGAUUGAUUUAUUAAUGAUUCUUCAAGCUGCUAGAGCUUUCGGUCUCAUAAGCAGCAGUAGUCCACUUUAUAGAACAG
rnacentral:sRNA from 1 species